GAAAAUAAGUACAACGAGAAAGAUACAUAAGAAUGUCAAAUGCCAGUUACAUUAAGAAAUAAGAUAUUGCACAUUAGAAUUAAAUAUUUCAACCAAUCAACAAAUAAGUUCCUCUCAGGACAAACAUUAUAAACCAGGGAACCUUGUGCUCAGCAUUAAAUUGAACUACAAGUCUACAACAUAACGGUACAUCAUUCUACACGGCUCUCCAAGGAUGGAAAUGGUUAGGUGGGUUUCACAUGCCCAAAAUUAAAGAAACAGUUUAAGCUGAUCCUAGCUCUAUCUCACCCAUUUCACUACAGGUUAACAAUAAGAGUUGGUUGAAUUAAGUUUUUAGUCAAUAAGUCAAAUGAGAAAU